rnacentral:piRNA from 1 species
UACCCAUGUGGAUGUGUGUAUGUCGCAGC